UUGACCGGCGAUGUUUCAUUUCAAAUUUUCCUGCCCUUAUCCAACUUUCCGACGGUAGGGUAGUGGCCUACCGUGGUGGUAACGGGUGACGGAGGAUUAGGGUUCGAUUCCGGAGAGGGAGCCUGAGAAACGGCUACCACAUCCAAGGAAGGCAGCAGGCGCGCAAAUUACCCAAAUCCCAACUCGGGGAGGUAGUGACAAGAAAUAACGAUGCUCCGGCCAUCGGUCGGGUAAUCGGAAUGAGAACAAUUUAAAUCCCUUAUCGAGGAUCAAUUGGAGGGCAAGUCUGGUGCCAGCAGCCGCGGUAAUUCCAGCUCCAAUAGCGUAUAUUUAAGUUGCUGCGGUUAAAAAGCUCGUAGUCGGAUUUCGGGUGGCGCCUACCGGUCCGCCUUUGGUGAGUACUGGUAGGUACCACCUUUCUGCCGAGGACGGGGUACUGGGCUUAGUUGUCUGGGCCUCGGAGUCGGCGAUGUCACUUUGAGUAAAUUAGGGUGUUCAAAGCAGGCUUAUGCUCUGUAUACACUAGCAUGGGAUGACACGAUAGGACUUCGGUUUAUCUUGUCGGUCUGUAAAUCGGAGUAAUGAUUAAGAGGGACAGUCGGGGGCAUUCGUAUUUCGUAGUCAGAGGUGAAAUUCUUGGAUUUACGGAAGACGAACUUCUGCGAAAGCAUUUGCCAAGGAUGUUUUCAUUGAUCAAGAACGAAAGUCGGGGGCUCGAAGACGAUUAGAUACCGUCGUAGUCUCGACCAUAAAGAUGCACG
rnacentral:rRNA from 1 species